UUUUCACUACAAUCCAAUUUUUACUAAGUCAUUGUUAUAAGCAAAAUUGUUUGCUAUAAUAAAUUCCGUAAAAAACUUGUUACAUGGAAGUUAUAUAAAUAAUUUCUUGUUAUGUAAAAACUUUCAUAAAAAAAUUUUUGCUUUUAAUGUACAUAAAUAAUUCCUUAAUGUAAUAAAUUUUUUGUUCGUGCUUUUUUAUUCGCAUUCACAUAAAAUUUCUUUAAUAUUGCAAAUUUCAUAUAAAACUUUUUGUAUUGGAAGUAAAGUAUGAAAUGCAUUGAUUGAAUAUGUUUGAAUAAAGUGACAUAUUUCACGAAACUUUAUUUAUAGAAAUCUUUACCUGAUUUUUCUUAUCGUGUAACGUAUAACAUAAUAGGUUUGGCGUCUUGUUUACUCAAUCCAAAAUGUGUGGUGCAUGAUGAAUUAUCUUUUUUUCUUUCAAAGGAGUAAUAUUAAUAUCUAAUUAGUACACAAGUGUAUUGCGACCAACAAAGUCAAUAUGAUGUUUAUUCAUGAGAUAAGAUCUUUACGAGUUAACGGAACUGAAUGUGAUAGCGUCCUGACGGAUAACGGUUUUCGAAGUUGGCUAAUUUUGUGGCAAACGGGGACGAAAAUUUUCGCGUUCCAUAUUUCCGAAAAAAAUAUUUUAUAAAUCAUAUUUUAUAUAAUUAAUAUUUUAUUGUAUGGUUAGUUUUAAAACCAAAGAUAAUUGUUGAUACCAAUUCCAACCAAUUUCUAUUUAUUAUCACUUUUAGUUAUGUUACCUAACCUAACUGAUAGCGAUAGGAAAUUUAAAAAAGAAUCAACUGUGGUGUAGUCUAAUGUAAGUAAAGUGAAACGUUAAUUUCAAUUAGCUCACUUACACGGUAAUUAUAAUACAUAAAGGAUCAUUUCUUGUAUUUUUUUAGACUUUAAAAUGUGUACAAUGAUUAUCUAGACAACCAAUAACCAUACUAGAAAAUAAUCAUUUUCUUAUCUAUCACUUUUUUUAUGAUAGUUUAGUAAGUAUUCGUGGUAGAUAACAUUCAUGUUAAAACAGUGUAGAAUUAAAUGUACCUAAAAUAAAAUAUUCUUACUAUA